CAGUCGCCGCGGGAAUACGAAGGGUGCAAGCGUUACUCGGAAUUACUGGGCGUAAAGCGUGCGUAGGUGGUGGUUUAAGUCCGUUGUGAAAGCCCUGGGCUCAACCUGGGAAUUGCAGUGGAUACUGGGUCACUAGAGUGUGUCAGAGGAUGGUGGAAUUCCAGGUGUAGCGGUGAAAUGCGUAGAGAUCUGGAGGAAUACCGGUGGUGAAGGCGGCCCCCUGGACAAAGACUGACGCUCAGGUGCGAAAGCGUGGGGAGCAAACAGGAUUAGAUACCCCUGUAGUCCCUGUCUCUUAUAA
rnacentral:rRNA from 1 species